rnacentral:rRNA from 1 species
GACGAACGCUGGCGGCGUGCUUAACACAUGCAAGUCGAACGAAGUGGCGAACGGGUGAGUAACGCGUAAUCAACCUGCCCUUCAGAGGGGGACAACAGUUGGCAACGACUGCUAAUACCGCAUACUGAAGGAGGGGAUUGCGUCGGAUUCGCUCGUUGGAGGGGUAACGGCCCACAAAGGCGAUGAUCAGUAGCCGGUCUGAGGGGAUGAACGGCCAAAUUGGGACUGAGAAACGGCCCAGACCCCUACGGGAGGCAGCAGGGGGGAAACUUCCGCAAUGGACGAAAGUCUGACGGAGCAACGCCGCGGGAUAGGUGACGGCCGUCGGGUUGGAAAGCUCUGUUAAUCGGGACGCGGUACCGGAAGAGAAAGCCACGGCUAACUACGUGCCAGCAGCCGCGGUAAUUC